GAAACACUAGGUCUGCUUACUAGUGAUGACUUGAAUUUUAUAUUGUAUGUUUUAUGUAUAUUUCCUAUGUUUGAAUGGGUAGUUCGAUGAUCUGUUUGUGGAAGUAGCUGAAGUAAUAGAUUAUUGUGAUAUAGGUACAUUUCAAGGGUCAAAUGGAGCUAAAGGAGCUAUUUAGGGCUAAGACAUGGAGCAAGAAACAAUUGAGUGGAAUUGAAAUUACAAGAACUAGAUGCAAUAGAUAAUGCGAAUUAAGGCAAGAGAUGUUAGAAGUUAGAGUUGGGAGAAACAAUUUGUACAAAGUAACGCAUAGCCUUACUUCGCAGAGUUGUUCAUGAUCUAUA
rnacentral:lncRNA from 1 species